rnacentral:rRNA from 1 species
AGCAGCCGCGGUAAUUCCAGCUCCAAUAGCGUAUAUUAAAGUUGUUGCAGUUAAAAAGCUCGUAGUUGAAUUUCGGGAUCAUCAGGUUGGUCGUGCCACUGGUAUGUACUUUCCUUGAUGGUCCCUCCCUCUUGAAGAACCGUAAUGCCAUUAAUUUGGUGUUGCGGGGAAUCAGGACUGUUACUUUGAAAAAAUUAGAGUGUUUAAAGCAGGCAAACGCUUGAAUACAUUAGCAUGGAAUAAUGAAAUAGGACGUUUGAUCUUAUUUUGUUGGUUUCUAGGAUCGACGUAAUGAUUAAUAGGGAUAGUUGGGGGCAGUUAGUAUUCAAUUGUCAGAGGUGAAAUUCUUGGAUUUUAUUGAAGACUAACUACUGCGAAAGCAUUUGCCAAGGAUGUUUUCAUUAAUCAAGAACGAAAGUUAGGGGAUCGAAGACGAUCAGAUACCGUCGUAGUCUUAACCAUUAAACUAUGCCGACUAGGGAUCGGAUGAUGUUAAUUUUUUAAUGUACUCAUUCGGCGUCCUUACGGGUAAAACC